UAAGUUAAAGCUAUUUUAGCGCUUUAUUUACACUAAUGAGAAUAUUGUUUAAUCAAUAUAACUUAA
rnacentral:tRNA from 2 species